UGGCGAAGUUUCCUGGGAGUGUGCUCAGCCUACUCCACCUCCUCUCAGUCUAGCCUAGAGUAAAGAGGCCAGAUGUGCCCCCCCACCCCCCCCAUGGGAGAGGCAUUUAAAUAAGAAGCCUCACCUGGGCUGUUCUAGCCUUAUAUUU
rnacentral:snoRNA from 1 species